GACAGAGGGUGCGAACGUUGCUCGGAAUCACUGGGCGUAAAGCGCGUGUAGGCGGGCGGUCAAGUCAGGUGUGAAAUCCCCGGGCUCAACCCGGGAACUGCAUCUGAAACUGGCCACCUAGAGUACUGGAGAGGGAAGCGGAAUUCCUGGUGUAGAGGUGAAAUUCGUAGAUAUCAGGAGGAACACCGGUGGCGAAGGCGGCUUCCUGGACAGUUACUGACGCUGAGACGCGAAAGCGUGGGGAGCAAACAGG
rnacentral:rRNA from 1 species